GGCCCCGCUGGCCGCCCGCCGCCGAGGCUGUGGUGCGACCGGCAGGGUGGGGAGCCAGGGGGGCCCUGAGGAGAAGGCUGAGGGGGACCCGCGAAGCUCCCCAGUUUCCGUCCCCUCUCUGCUUCGCCUCUGUGCACAAGAUGUCCUUGGACAUCAUCGGCCUCCCUCAGGCUAUCACAGUUUUGGGUAGUCCUCAUGGGAAGCAGCUGGUGCUCCUGUGAGUGGUGCGCUGGGUAUCACCCAGAAUUUUGGCCAAAUGUGUGAGACCUAGGGACUGGGGAAUGGCUUGGGGUGGAGGGGACCUUAAAGACCACCUAAUUCCACCUCGUUGCCAUGGGCAGGGACACCUCCCACCAGACCAGGUUGCUCAAAGCCCCAUCCAGCCUGGCCUUGAACACCUCCAGGGAUGGGGCAUCCACAGCUUCUCUGGGCAACCCGUGCCAGUGCCUCACUGCCCUCUGAGUGAAGAAUUUCUGCCUAACACCUUGUUUAUAUUUUGGUAGUGGCCGUUUCUUUAAUAUUUGGUAUAUUCACCAAGCCUAGUGCCUGUAAUUCAGACAUGAAUUGAGCUUAGUUGGAAAUAUAGUGGGGAAACAUGCUACUAAGCAUAAGAUAAACUCAUUUUGUAACUGACUGUAUGUUGAAUUCUUGUUUUCAAAACAUUAUAUAAAUAAAUACAAUAUGCUUUAGCAGAAUUAUUUACCUGAUAGUCUUAAGAUCUGAAAAUGUUCAAUUUUUUCAGCUAGACUACUGAUGUUCCCUGACCUAAAAUCCUUUUUCUUUGUACUGCAAAGCCCAUCGUGUUGACUGUAGAGGCCGCUCUCAAUGCCCAGUCAGCACCUCCAGUUUUCAAGUAUUUCCAAAUAACACUCAGGUAUUACCAGUUUAAAAGUUCCUUGCACAACUGAGGUCUCUUUAUCCCUUCCCGAGGCUACAUCUUCGUUCUAGACUCUUGUUCCAGUAAGUACGUAUUCAGGGAAUGAAAUGUAAUGGCUGUCUGAGGAAGAAGGAUUUGCCACUAAACAAGAAGGAAAUUAAGACAUUCCUUAAUAGGGAAAAUGUUCCUGUGAAGUGUGAGACCUUCCUAGCGACAGACCAACACCAUUCAAGGGCUGCAGUCACCGGAACGUAGCAACUUACGGUUAAAGGAGACCUGUGAGAUACUCCUGAUGCUGUGACCAGCUACGGGCUGCCCUCCCCCUCGAAAGGCUGAUGAAGCUCAGUAAGUGCCAGUAUGGGUUUGGCUAGACUGAACAGUUGGGACAACUAAUUUACUUACAGGUUACUGAUAUUUGACAACUUCAGGUGAAGUAAUUACGGUGAUGCAGAAAUUAUGCCCACGAGAAGACUGCUCAGGGCCACCCUGCAUGAGAGCGAUCACCUGAUGAUCUUCUGUUAACUGAGAACUGCCCUGUAAGUCUAGCCUGAUCCCCUUGAAAUUUAUAAAGGGACUCUCAUGAGAGUUGCACUGUGCUGCUCUUAUUAAUUCUUUACUGUGCUUAAGGGCUCUGGAUGGUAAAGACUCUCGAUUCUGGA